rnacentral:rRNA from 1 species
AGCGAACGCUGGCGGCAGGCCUAACACAUGCAAGUCGAACGAACUCUUCGGAGUUAGUGGCGGUCGGGUGAGUAACACGUGGGAACGUGCCUUUAGGUUCGGAAUAACUCAGGGAAACUUGUGCUAAUACCGAAUGUGCCCUUCGGGGGAAAGAUUUAUCGCCUUUAUAGCGGCCCGCGUCGGAUUAGCUAGUUGGGGAGGUAAGGGCUCACCAAGGCGACGAUCAGUAGCUGGUCUGAGAGGAUGAUCAGCCACAUUGGGACUGAGACACGGCCCGAACUCCUGCGGGAGGCAGCAGUGGGGAAUCUUGCGCAAUGGGCGAAAGCCUGACGCAGCCAUGCCGCGUGAAUGAUGAAGGUCUUAGGAUUGUAAAAUUCUUUCACCGGGGACGAUAAUGACGGUACCCGGAGAAGAAGCCCCGGCUAACUUCGUG